GACGGCCAUAACAGCGGUGUCACACCCGGUCUCAUUCCGAACCCGAAGGUAAAGGCCGCUGUGUGCCGCGUUGUACUGUCUUCCGCGAGGGGACGGGAAGCGCGGCUCGCUGUCA
rnacentral:rRNA from 1 species